GUUGUGUAAAGAGAGAACUACUUCUCAUGUUGGGUCAGUCCUAUCACAUGUCUCCACAUGUUCCCACAUUAUUAGUUCAACAUCUCCAUGUCCAUGACUUGUGAAACAUAGUCAUCAACUAAUACAUGUGCUAGUCUAAUAUUUAUGUGUGUCCUCACAUGAACUCCGACGAGGGACAACUUUAGAAUAACCAUACAAGUAAAGAGUUUCACAUACAAUUAACAUAAUUGCAAAUCAAUUCAAGUAGCCUUUAAUGGAUAUUCAAGGAACACAAUAUAAAUCAUGGAUACAAAUGGAAUAUCAUCAUCUCUAUGAUUGCUUCUAGGGCAUACCUCCAACAGUCUCCCACUUGCACUAGAGUCAAUCUAGAAGGUACCUAAUACCCAUAGCUCUUACAUGCGCAUCAUGCUUAGCCUGCGGGAGUGGUUUUGUCAACGGAUCAGAAACAUUCAGAUCCGUGUGUAUUUUGCAUAUCUUGAUCUCAC
rnacentral:lncRNA from 1 species